AUUGUCAUGCUCAUAGACGUCAUGGUGACGAAAAAUCAGACAAAUAUCGUAGUCGUGCUCGUCAUCACUUAUCAGAUCUGAUAGGCAGACACAUCAUCCCAUCAAGCUCGAAGCUACAACCAAUCCAAAUGCACCGCCAAACUAACAUUAUAUCCAAUAUGGCGGUGUUGUUCGCUUUGUAGGCUUUAUGAAUGAAUCGAUGCUGCAUAGACAUCGCCAAUUUUGUUUAGCAUAAUUUUAAAAAAGUCCUCAUAACUAAAAAGUCUGUAUAGUUAUAGGUCCUUUUCUCUCUGUAUUUGUUUUUUUCUGUAAACCAGCAUGCAUCCUAUACAUACAUAGGCCAUACUUCCGGUUUCCUUUUUUCGUUCGUGCACAAUAAGGAUAGUUUUGUGUUUCUUAUACAGGUACAAUGUCGUAUUUCAAGAUCAGACAAAAGAAGAAAAGCAACCGAAAAGAUAGUGAAGAUUUACAACACUUGACAGGGCGAUGGGUAACCCUUAAAGAGAAUAAGGGAAAGAAAAAAGUUUCUGCUGCUCCCUCCCAGCCAGACACAGUUAUUGCUGCUUCCUCAGAGCAACCGAUCCCGACAACAUCAUCCAUCGAUGUUGAGCCUAUGGCCGUAGUAUUUGCUGCUUCCUCCCAACAACCGAUCCCGACAACAUCAUCCAGCGAUGUUGAGCCUAUGGCCGUAG